rnacentral:ribozyme from 12 species
UUUUUUCUUUUUCUUCUUUUUUUUUUUCUUCUUUUUCCUCAAAGG